UGCAGCCCAGAAGCAGACUUGGGCUCGGCCUUGGAGGAGCAAAAGCAGGAGCUGCCGGUCUUGGACUGGGACUUGGAGCCAAGCCUGGCAAGUUUGGAGGUCGCUUCCCUGGAUAUGGUGCACGAGGCUACCCUCAGCAGGGUUUGGGU